UUAAGACAUGCAAGUCGCACGAAUCGCUUAAUUGGGUAACCGAGCAAGUGGUUAGUGGCGAAAGGGUGAGUAAUGCAUAGGUAACGUACCCCGAACUCUGGGAUAACUGCGGUCUUCGGACCUUUGCGAAAGUGCAGAUAAUACCGGAUGAUAUCUUCGAGUCGUAUGGCAUGAAGAUCAAAGGCUUCGGUUGGUUUGGGAGCGGCCUAUGUCGUAUCAGCUAGUUGGUGAGGUAACGGCUUACCAAGGCUUCGACGCGUAGCGGGACUGAGAGGUUGAUCCGCCACAUUGGGACUGAGACACUGCCCAGACCCCCACGGGGGGCUGCAGUAACGGAUAUUGCGCAAUGGACGAAAGUCUGACGCAGCGACGCCGUGUGUAGGAUGAAGCCCUUCGGGGUGUAAACUACUGUUAGGGUGAAGAAAGGCUUCGGCUUGAUCGAUCCCAAAGAAAGGACCGGCUAACUUCGUGCCAGCAGCCGCGGUAAUACGAAGGGUCCAAGCGUUGUUCGGAAUUACUGGGCUUAAAGCGCACGUAGGCGGGAAAGUAAGUGCCUUGUGAAAUCCCACGGCUUAACCGUGGAAUUGCUCGGCAAACGGCUUUUCUUGAGGCAGACAGGGGUGCAUGGAACUCUAGGUGGAGCGGUGAAAUGCGUAGAUAUCUAGAGGAACGCCAGUGGUGAAAACGGUGCACUGGGUCUGUUCUGACGCUGAGGUGCGAAAGCGUGGGUAGCGAACGGGAUUAGAUACCCCGGUAGUCCACGCCGUAAACGAUGCCUACUAGGUUGUGGUGGUUCUGACACUAUCGCAGCCGGAGCAAAAGUUUUAGGUAGGCCGCCUGGGGAGUACGGUCGCAAGGCUAAAACUCAAAGGAAUUGACGGGGGCUCACACAAGCGGUGGAGCAUGUGGCUUAAUUCGAAGCAACGCGAAGAACCUUAUCCUGGGUUUGACAUACUUGGAUGCCUGCUGUGAAAGCAGUUAGGCUGCCUUCGGGUGAAACUUGUACAGGUGCUGCAUGGCUGUCGUCAGCUCGUGUCGUGAGAUGUCGGGUUAAGUCCCUUAACGAGCGAAACCCUUGCCGUUAGUUACCAGCGGGUCAUGCCGGGGACUCUAGCGGGACUGCCGGUGUUAAACCGGAGGAAGGUGGGGAUGACGUCAAGUCCUCAUGGCCUUUAUGCCCAGGGCUGCACACGUGCUACAAUGGGGUGGACAAACCGACGCGAUGCCGUAAGGUGGAGCAAAUCGGAAAAACCACUCCUCAGUUCGGAUUGUAGGCUGCAACUCGCCUACAUGAAGUUGGAAUCGCUAGUAAUCGCGGAUCAGCAUGCCGCGGUGAAUAUGUUCCUGAGCCUUGUACACACCGCCCGUCAAGUCACGGAAGCUGGAAGUACCUGAAGUCGGGUAGCUAACUUUUUAAGAGGCGCCUGCCGAUGGUAAGUUCGGUAACUGGGGCUAAGUCGUAACAAGGUA
rnacentral:rRNA from 1 species